AGUGAACGCUGGCGGUAGGCCUAACACAUGCAAGUCGAACGGCAGCACAGUAAGAGCUUGCUCUUACGGGUGGCGAGUGGCGGACGGGUGAGGAAUACAUCGGAAUCUACUUUUUUGUGGGGGAUAACGUAGGGAAACUUACGCUAAUACCGCAUACGACCUACGGGUGAAAGCAGGGGAUCUUCGGACCUUGCGCGAUUGAAUGAGCCGAUGUCGGAUUAGUUAGUUGGCGGGGUAAAGGCCCACCAAGGCGACGAUCCGUAGCUGGUCUGAGAGGAUGAUCAGCCACACUGGAACUGAGACACGGUCCAGACUCCUACGGGAGGCAGCAGUGGGGAAUAUUGGACAAUGGGCGCAAGCCUGAUCCAGCCAUACCGCGUGGGUGAAGAAGGCCUUCGGGUUGUAAAGCCCUUUUGUUGGGAAAGAAAAGCAGCAGGUUAAUACCCCGCUGUUCUGACGGUACCCAAAGAAUAAGCACCGGCUAACUUCGUG
rnacentral:rRNA from 1 species